rnacentral:rRNA from 1 species
GAUGAACGCUGGCGGCGUGCCUAACACAUGCAAGUCGAGCGAUCUUCUUCGGAAGAGAGCGGCGGACGGGUGAGUAACGCGUGGGUAACCUGCCCUGUACACACGGAUAACAUACCGAAAGGUAUGCUAAUACGGGAUAACAUAUUUUUAUCGCAUGGUAAAAAUAUCAAAGCUCCGGCGGUACAGGAUGGACCCGCGUCUGAUUAGCUAGUUGGUAAGGUAACGGCUUACCAAGGCGACGAUCAGUAGCCGACCUGAGAGGGUGAUCGGCCACAUUGGAACUGAGACACGGUACCAAACUCCGUACGGGAGGCAGCAGGUGGGGAAUAUUGCAACAAGUGGGACGAAAGCCUGAUGCAGCAACGCCGCGUGAGCGAUGAA